rnacentral:rRNA from 1 species
GACGAACGCUGGCGGCGUGCUUAACACAUGCAAGUCGAACGGAAAGGCCCUGCUUUUGUGGGGUGCUCGAGUGGCGAACGGGUGAGUAACACGUGAGUAACCUGCCCUUGACUUUGGGAUAACUUCAGGAAACUGGGGCUAAUACCGGAUAGGAGCUCCUGCUGCAUGGUGGGGGUUGGAAAGUUUCGGCGGUUGGGGAUGGACUCGCGGCUUAUCAGCUUGUUGGUGGGGUAGUGGCUUACCAAGGCUUUGACGGGUAGCCGGCCUGAGAGGGUGACCGGACCCACUGGGACUGGGCUGCGACCCAGACUCGUCUGGGACGCAGCGGUGGAGAGUGUAAUACAAGGGGCUGGAGCCUACUGCAAUAACGCCGCGCGCGGGAUGACGGCAAGCGGGUUGUGAUCCGCUUUCGUCUGAGACGGAAAGUGAGUGACGGUAAUGGGUAAAGAAGCACCGGCUAACUACGUG